rnacentral:rRNA from 1 species
AAUGAACGCUGGCGGCGUGCCUAACACAUGCAAGUCGAGCGGGAAAGUUCCCUUCGGGAGCAAGUACAGCGGCGAACGGGUGAGUAACACGUAGGUAACCUACCCUGGAGAUCGGGAUAACCUGCCGAAAGGACGGGCUAAUACCGGAUAAGACCACGAGGGCUGCGGCCCUUGAGGAAAAGAAUGGCCUCUGCUUGCAAGCUAUCACUCUGGGAUGGGCCUGCGCGCCAUUAGCUAGUUGGUGAGGUAACGGCUCACCAAGGCUGAGAUGGCUAGCUGGUCUGAGAGGAUGGCCAGCCACACUGGGACUGAGACACGGCCCAGACUCCUACGGGAGGCAGCAGUGGGGAAUCUUGCGCAAUGGGCGAAAGCCUGACGCAGCGACGCCGCGUGAGGGAUGACGGCCUUCGGUU